GACGAACGCUGGCGGCGUGCCUAACACAUGCAAGUCGAGCGGAGUCAGUAAGAGGAAAUUUUCGGAUGGAAUCUUAUUGAUUUAGCGGCGGACGGGUGAGUAACGCGUGAGCGACCAACCUUGCACAGGGGGAUAACGGACCGAAAGGUUCACUAAUACCGCAUGAGACCACGGUGUUGCAUGACACAGGGGGUCAAAGGAGCAAUCCGGUGCAAGACGGGCUCGCGUCCGAUUAGGUAGUUGGAGGGGUAACGGCCCACCAAGCCUAUGAUCGGUAGCCGACCUGAGAGGGUGAUCGGCCACAUUGGAACUGAGAUACGGUCCAAACUCCUACGGGAGGCAGCAGUGGGGAAUAUUGGGCAAUGGGGGAAACCCUGACCCAGCAACGCCGCGUGAAGGAAGAAGGUUUUCGGAUUGUAAACUUCUGUCCUUGGUGAAGAGAAGAAGACGGUAGCCAAGGAGGAAGCCCCGGNUAACUACGUG
rnacentral:rRNA from 1 species